rnacentral:lncRNA from 1 species
CCCCUGGCUCUGCUCUGAGUCAGGACCUCGGAGCGUUGGUGUGACACCACCAGCAUUAACACAACCUGAAGUGUUUUGCAGGCUCUCGCUCUGAUUUGCAGGUCCCAAUGGCUCAGGCCACCUGCAAAACAUCUCUGUGAUGACAAAUUCAGCCCUGGAGAGACACUGACCUGCAGUGAGGCUGAGCAAGGGCAUCCUAAAGCCACAGCCUUCAGUGCAGCCGAUUACCCAGGAGAUCAGCGAAUCUUAGCUCUGUGAAAGACAGGGAGGAGACAGAGCAGAAGCUUUCUCAUCCUCCACAGCAGUACUAAGCGUCCAACACACAAAUCUAAACACUGUCCACCCAGGGGUGCCAACUCAAAUGCCUCAGCUGUGAAGACAGAACAAAAAGGAAAGGACAAUCUCCAAGGUUGAAAGGCAGCUCCAACAGCUGAAUCCUGGGGACUUUGCAUGGAAACAAUGAGCUUUAUGCAGCUUUCCCCCAAAAGCUGUAACAAAGACCUAAAUCCCUCUACUUUGUCUCAAAGGAAAACACCAGAAGUUACUCCAGAACUGCAGAAGCACUAAAACCAUCUGAAAACACUAAGGCAGGCUUCCCUUCUUCCACCAGCCUUUCCUCAUUCCUAGGCCUGUGAUCUCCCACUAAUAUCUCCCUGGGAUCUUUCAUCAAGGCAGGCAACACACAGUGUCUGGUUCGUCACCAGCGUGGUGGGAGCGGAAACUUGUGUUUCCUCACCCCAAUCUCUACCCUUAUGAAAUGGAAAUAGAGGGAUAAAAGGCUUUGAUUCAGGUGAAAUCUCACAGGAGCACACAGCAAAUAAUUUAACUCUAACCUUCAGAACUACAUCUUAAAUCCCUUUCCUAAGAACAUUUAAUAAAACCAGCAAAAUGCACA